rnacentral:rRNA from 1 species
CUCCUUUGACGUUAGCGGCGGACGGGUGAGUAACACGUGGGUAACCUACCUAUAANACUGGGAUAACUUCGGGAAACCGGAGCUAAUACCGGAUAAUAUUUCGAACCGCAUGGUUCGAUAGUGAAAGGUUGUUUUGCUAUCACUUAUAGAUGGACCCGCGCCGUAUUAGCUAGUUGGUAAGGUAACGGCUUACCAAGGCGACGAUACGUAGCCGACCUGAGGAGGGUGAUCGGCCACACUGGAACUGAGACACGGUCCAGACUCCUACGGGAGGCAGCAGGA